rnacentral:rRNA from 1 species
GAUGAACGCUAGCUACAGGCUUAACACGUGCAAGUCGAGGGGCAGCAUGGUCAUAGCUUGCUAAGGCUGAUGGCGACCGGCGCACGGGUGAGUAACACGUAUCCAACCUGCCGUCUACUCUUGGCCAGCCUUCUGAAAGGAAGAUUAAUCCAGGAUGGGAUCAUGAGUUCACAUGUCCGCAUGAUUAAAGGUAUUUUCCGGUAGACGAUGGGGAUGCGUUCCAUUAGAUAGUAGGCGGGGUAACGGCCCACCUAGUCAACGAUGGAGAGGGGUAGUGAGAGGAAGGUCGCCCACAGUGGAACUGAGAGACGGGCCAAACUCCUACGGGAGGCAGCAGUGAGGAAUAUUGGUCAAUGGACGAUGGCCUGAAGCAGCCAAGUAGCGUGAAGGAUGACUGCCCUACGGGUUGUAAACUUCUUUUAUAAAGGAAUAAAGUCGGGUAUGCAUACCCGUUUGCAUGUACUUUAUGAAUAAGGAUCGGCUAACUCCGUGCCAGCAGCCGCGGUAA